GAAACCAAAAGGUUGAACCACCCUGC
rnacentral:piRNA from 1 species